AGUAAAAUAGUAUAAAAUUGAAUACUACUAAUUUACACUUGGAAAAUGAUAUAAUCUUUUACUU
rnacentral:tRNA from 1 species